rnacentral:rRNA from 1 species
AUGAACGCUGGCGGCGUGCCUAAUACCUGCAAGUCGAGCGAACGGACGAGAAGCUUGCUUCUCUGAUGUUAGCGGCGGACGGGUGAGUAACACGUGGAUAACCUACCUAUAAGACUGGGAUAACUUCGGGAAACCGGAGCUAAUACCGGAUAAUAUUUUGAACCGCAUGGUUCAAAAGUGAAAGACGGUCUUGCUGUCACUUAUAGAUGGAUCCGCGCUGCAUUAGCUAGUUGGUAAGGUAACGGCUUACCAAGGCAACGAUGCAUAGCCGACCUGAGAGGGUGAUCGGCCACACUGGAACUGAGACACGGUCCAGACUCCUACGGGAGGCAGCAGUAGGGAAUCGUCCGCAAUGGGCGAAAGCCUGACGGAGCAACGCCGCGUGAGUGAUGAAGGUCUUCGGAUCGUAAAACUCUGUUAUUAGGGAAGAACAUAUGUGUAAGUAACUGUGCACAUCUUGACGGUACCUAAUCAGAAAGCCACGGCUAACUACGUG